rnacentral:tRNA from 1 species
GGUAAAAUGGCUGAGAGAAAGGCAUUGGACUGUAAAUCUUAAGACAGAGGUUUAAACCCUCUUUUUACCA